AACGACGGACUAGCAGUACGGACCGUAGAUCGAUCUACGAUCCGUCAAUCCCCUCCGUAGCUCCACACUUAGAAUCUUCAAAAAUCAGGUACUGGAACCCUCGCAGUAUCAAUCUACGGAUCAACAGUACGGUCCGUAGAUCAAUAUACGGACCGUCAAUGGCCACCGUGGUUCCACACUUAGUCAGAUUUCCCUGAUUUGUCUUCCAUACCUUGCCUGCUGAUCUACGGUCAUCACAUACGGGCCGUCGAUGGACCUACGGUCCAUAGAUCACCUCCGUGAAUGCCCUUUUUCUGCAUUUCUUUAAGCUGUCCCUAUACUUCCGCGCCUGAACAUCUUUCCUGCAAAAUAUGAUAAAAACACAUAAAAACCAAUACAAAAAGGCCCUAGACACACACAACUUGUAAGUGAAAUGUAUUAGAAAUACCGUAAACU
rnacentral:lncRNA from 1 species